rnacentral:rRNA from 1 species
UACGGGGGGGGGCAAGCGUUGUUCGGAAUUACUGGGCGUAAAGGGCUCGUAGGCGGCCAACUAAGUCAGACGUGAAAUCCCUCGGCUCAACCUGGGAACUGCGUCCGAUACUGGAUGGCUUGAAUCCGGGAGAGGGAUGCAGAAUUCCAGGUGUAGCGGUGAAAUGCGUAGAUAUCUGGAGGAAUACCGGUGGCGAAGGCGGCAUCCUGGACCGGCAUUGACGCUGAGGAGCGAAAGCCAGGGGAGCAAACGGG